rnacentral:rRNA from 1 species
GACGAACGCUGGUGGCGUGCUUAACACAUGCAAGUCGAACGGGAUUUAGUAAACAGAAGCCUCGGUGGAAGAUUACUAAUGAGAGUGGCGAACGGGUGAGUAACGCGUGAGCAACCUGCCUAUGACAGUGGGAUAGCCUCGGGAAACCGGGAUUAAUACCGCAUAACAUCGUAGAAACACAUGUUUUAACGGUCAAAGAUUUAUCGGUCAUAGAUGGGCUCGCGUCGGAUUAGCUAGUUGGGGAGAUGACCGCCCACCAAGGCGACGAUCAGUAGCCGGUAUGAGAGGAUGAACGGCCACAUUGGAACUGAGACACGGUCCAAACUCCUACGGGAGGCAGCAGUGGGGAAUAUUGCACAAUGGGGGAAACCAUGAUGCAGCGACGCCGCGUGAACGAAGAAGGUAUUCGUAUCGUAAAGUUCUGUCAUAUGGGAAGAUAAUGACAGUACCAUAGAAGAAAGCGCCGGCUAAAUACGUG